rnacentral:rRNA from 1 species
UGGGGAAUAUUGCACAAUGGGCGCAAGCCUGAUGCAGCCAUGCCGCGUGUAUGAAGAAGGCCUUCGGGUUGUAAAGUACUUUCAGCGGGGAGGAAGGCGAUAAGGUUAAUAACCUUGUCGAUUGACGUUACCCGCAGAAGAAGCACCGGCUAACUCCGUGCCAGCAGCCGCGGUAAUACGGAGGGUGCAAGCGUUAAUCGGAAUUACUGGGCGUAAAGCGCACGCAGGCGGUCUGUCAAGUCGGAUGUGAAAUCCCCGGGCUCAACCUGGGAACUGCAUUCGAAACUGGCAGGCUAGAGUCUUGUAGAGGGGGGUAGAAUUCCAGGUGUAGCGGUGAAAUGCGUAGAGAUCUGGAGGAAUACCGGUGGCGAAGGCGGCCCCCUGGACAAAGACUGACGCUCAGGUGCGAAAGCGUGGGGAGCAAACAGGAUUAGAUACCCCUGUAGUCC